rnacentral:rRNA from 1 species
AGUAACGCGUGAGGAACCUGCCUUCCAGAGGGGGACAACAGUUGGAAACGACUGCUAAUACCGCAUGACACAUGACCGUGGCAUCACGGACAUGUCAAAGAUUUAUCGCUGGAAGAUGGCCUCGCGUCUGAUUAGCUGGUAGGCGGGGUAACGGCCCACCUAGGCGACGAUCAGUAGCCGGGCUGAGAGGUUGACCGGCCACAUUGGGACUGAGAUACGGCCCAGACUCCUACGGAAGGCAGCAG